ensembl:snoRNA SNORD115 Small nucleolar RNA SNORD115
GAGUCAAUGAUGAGAACUCUUGAAGACAGAUGAUGACUUAAUAAUGAUAAUCAAUAGGAUUACACUAGGAUGUC